rnacentral:rRNA from 2 species
UGGGGAAUUUUGGACAAUGGGGGAAACCCUGACGCAGCAACGCCGCGUGAAGGACGAAGGCCUUCGGGUUGUAAACUUCAACAAGCAGGGAAGAUAAUGACGGUACCUGACUGGAAGCCACGGCUAACUACGUGCCAGCAGCCGCGGUAAUACGUAGGUGGCAAGCGUUGUCCGGAUUUACUGGGUGUAAAGGGCGUGUAGGCGGGUGUUUAAGUCAGUGGUGAAAUACCGAAGCUCAACUUCGGGGCUGCCAUUGAAACUGGGCAUCUUGAGUGCAGGAGAGGAAAGCGGAAUUCCUAGUGUAGCGGUGAAAUGCGUAGAUAUUAGGAGGGACACCAGUGGCGAAGGCGGCUUUCUGGACUGUAACUGACGCUGAGGCGCGAAAGCGUGGGGAGCAAACAGG